rnacentral:sRNA from 1 species
GUCAGCAGUACAUUAGACUUAAGCUUUGCAUUCCUUGUGUUUUUUUGUUUGUUUUUCUCUUCCUGGAAAAAAGUUUGCUUCUCUCAUACCAUCUGACUUACUUCCAGGCUUUUCUCCCUUGUGGAACGAGUGCCGUUGAGCCCUGCUGCACUCUCAGACGGGCUCCUCCGAAGUGCCGCAGGUGGUGGUAAAUCGACUCUCACCCACUGGGGUCGCUCCUUCGUGUCUCCCCCCGGUCGGUUCAUCUGUUGCUCUGGCUGCAGGAGGAACGAGUGAGCUUCUGGUCGGCGUCUGCCAUGCCGUGUCACCCCGGCUUCUGGCGCCUCCUGUGUGUGCCCAGGAUUGUGAAUGUGGGCCGUGUGUGUGAGGCCACGGGUCUCCCUGCAGCCACUCUCCUGCUGGGGCUCUGUUACUGGCACCCGUCGCUGCCUGCACCGAAGGCUGGCAGCACCUCCUGGAGCUUGGGACCCAGAGCACAGCCUCCCACCAUGAGAUGUGUUGUUUUUCUGUGGAUCAGUCCUCCUUUCUUUCUGAGCCUGGCGUGUUUUGUUCUAGUUUGUUACCGUCCUAAGUGCCUGUAGGCCCUGCUCUCCAGGGACGAGACUCGGGCUCUACCCCUAACUCAGAACCCAGAGCAAGAGUGGUCGGGCCCGGGCCCACAACAGUGCUCAGCUGUCCUGCUGCCUUUGUAGUUCAAGAAGUGUCCAUUGAUGAGGGGAAUGGUCCUGGCUCAUGCUGGAGUUCCUGACUCGCAUCCCUGUGGAGAUGAACUUCCUCGUCAGGGCGGAGGCCUGCCAAGCAGUCCCCCCAGGCUUCUCUUGCUCACCUUUGCCCAUUUUUAUUAUGAAAGAAAACCAGUUCCUCGAUAGAUACCAGGACCAUCAGCCUCAGGCCUGGAGGAGGAAAGGAGGAUGAUUUGGGUUCGGGCUGUAAGAGGUGUGCCACUGAGAAGGAAGGAUGCUGUGAGCAGGCUUAACUGAGCUCAUGGUUCAGUGGGAGUCGAGUGUUCUCAUCACAGGCUUUGGUGGAAUGUACUCUUGACAUCUGUCCCCAGGAGCCUGGUCUCCAGAAACACCAGCUCAGGCCCUCAAGGUCUGGCUCUGAUGGUUCUGUGGGCUAUAGGAUUCUGAUCUGUUAGCGAGGUGUGUUCAGAAGUGUGUUGAAGACACCAGUGCAGGAGAGCAGCCAGUAGAACAGAAAGGUCUGGAAGCAGCAUUCUUGGCAAAUCUUCUAGAUUCCCAAUGCCCAGACAGACCUGGAGGUGCUGUGGGCUUGAACAUGUGGGUGGCCUCCCCUCCCAGGCUGCCCCGAGCUGCCCAAGGUUUCCUUGCCCUGGUGCUCCUUCUUGCAGAGGCUACACGUGCCCUCUCCACCUGCCCAGGCACUGAGUUUCUUUGUUGCGAUCACCUUGUCUGUUGUCCCUCUGUCCUCAAAGAUGAUCACGGAAGCCUUGGCCCAAGGUGGGAUGCACAUAAGAGCCCGGUUCCCGCCUACCACCGCUGUGUCCGCCAUCCCGUCAAGCUCCAUCCCUUUGGGCAGACAGCCCAUGGCACAGGUCAGCCAGAGCAGCCUCCCCAUGCUGUCCUCGCCGUCACCGGGCCAGCAGGUGCAGACCCCGCAGUCGAUGCCCCCUCCCCCCCAGCCGUCCCCGCAGCCCGGCCAGCCCAGCUCACAGCCCAACUCCAACGUCAGCUCUGGCCCUGCCCCGUCUCCCAGUAGCUUCCUGCCCAGCCCCUCACCGCAGCCCUCCCAGAGCCCAGUGACGGCGCGGACCCCACAGAACUUCAGUGUCCCCUCACCUGGACCUUUAAACACACCUGUGAACCCCAGCUCUGUCAUGAGCCCAGCUGGCUCCAGCCAGGCUGAGGAGCAGCAGUACCUGGACAAGCUGAAGCAGCUGUCGAAGUACAUCGAGCCCCUGCGCCGCAUGAUCAACAAGAUCGACAAGAACGAAGACAGAAAAAAGGACCUGAGUAAGAUGAAGAGCCUUCUGGACAUUCUGACAGACCCCUCGAAGCGGUGUCCCCUGAAGACCUUGCAAAAGUGUGAGAUCGCCCUGGAGAAACUCAAGAAUGACAUGGCGGUGCCCACUCCCCCACCGCCCCCGGUGCCACCGACCAAACAGCAGUACCUAUGCCAGCCGCUCCUGGAUGCCGUCCUGGCCAACAUCCGCUCACCUGUCUUCAACCAUUCCCUGUACCGCACAUUCGUUCCAGCCAUGACCGCCAUUCACGGCCCACCCAUCACGGCCCCAGUGGUGUGCACCCGGAAGCGCAGGCUUGAGGAUGAUGAGCGGCAGAGCAUCCCCAGUGUGCUCCAGGGUGAGGUGGCCAGGCUGGACCCCAAGUUCCUGGUAAACCUGGACCCUUCUCACUGCAGCAACAAUGGCACUGUCCACCUGAUCUGCAAGCUGGAUGACAAGGACCUCCCAAGUGUGCCACCACUGGAGCUCAGUGUCCCCGCUGACUAUCCUGCCCAAAGCCCGCUGUGGAUAGACCGGCAGUGGCAGUACGACGCCAACCCCUUUCUCCAGUCGGUGCACCGCUGCAUGACCUCCAGGCUGCUGCAGCUCCCGGACAAGCACUCGGUCACCGCCUUGCUCAACACCUGGGCCCAGAGCGUCCACCAGGCCUGCCUCUCAGCCGCCUAGCCAAGACUGCAGGGAUGGCCCGCAGCCUCAUCGGGGCCAAGGACACACGCCUCCUGUCAGACACUUCUAGGUGUUGGCUUCCUUAGAGAGCCUGGGGUUAGGUUAGCUUUCCUGCUUUUAUCUUCUGCCUUGGGGACCUGCCAAACGAAAUCCCACAGCUGUACAGAACUGGGAUAGGCGCAGUGGAGCGGGUUGUUGGGGGCCAUUGGCCGACUUCUUAGAGAAGGCCCUCCAUGUGACUUCCUCCCAGGAGCCAGAUGCCAUCCUCGGGCUGCUCUCACCGUGGCCUGUCCACAGUCCAGGUCCAUCUCAGCAGCGUGAGGGUGCACUCAGGGUGUUGUUAGAGCGUCUCGUGUGUGCUAGACACACCCCUACUCGUUCCUAUAGGAGAACACAGAGGACAUAGGAAACCCUUAAAACACACAUGGGAUUCUCUGGUCACAGUUUUGGGUUCAGGCUACGCUGCUUUGGGUAGGUGGAGCACCCCCCGAGGAAGCCCGCAAGUCCAGGGCACAGGCUGCCUUUUGGAGGGAGGGCUGGCCCAUAGGUGCUGCUGACUCCCCGCCACCAGCUGGGCCUCAGCCCUCACGGCAUUCCUGCUGAGCACCGUGGGGCACCCAGGGAGCAGGGGCGUCGGGGAUCCUGCUGCCGGCACCCCUGUGCCGCUGGCAUGAGGGCCGUGUCCCCACUGUGAAGGAUGAAGAGCAAGGCCCUCAGGACCCGUGUCCUCAGAGCACCACACACUGAGCCACCCAGAGACAGCGGGCCUGGCAGCGGGCCGGGCCAUGCAGGGAGCGCCUCCCUAUGUUGCCUGCCACUCUGGGCACCGGCCAGCACCCUCUGGUGAGAAGAGGUCCCCCCUUUUUAUGUGCACUACCCCACCAUCUGUGAUUAUAAUAAAUUUAUUAUUCCUGUG